rnacentral:rRNA from 1 species
CCCUUGAGAGCCGUGGAAGACCACCACGUUGAUAGGCCGGGUGUGGAAGUGCGGCAACGCAUGAAGCUUACCGGUACUAAUAGCUCGAUUGGCUUGAUCAU